rnacentral:sRNA from 1 species
GCAUCAAUAAAGCUCUGGAUAGGACCAAACGUCAGGGAGCAUCUUUCAUUGGAAUCCUGGAUAUUGCUGGAUUUGAAAUUUUUGAGCUGAACUCCUUUGAGCAACUUUGCAUCAACUACACCAAUGAGAAGCUGCAGCAGCUGUUCAACCACACCAUGUUUAUCCUGGAACAAGAGGAAUACCAGCGCGAAGGCAUCGAGUGGAACUUCAUCGAUUUCGGGCUGGAUCUGCAGCCAUGCAUCGACCUGAUAGAGAGACCUGUAAGAGUGCUCACUUGCUCGCUGUCUUUCAUUUUCCACUCAAGCAGUGACCUUAAG